rnacentral:pre_miRNA from 1 species
UUCUGUGUCCCCACUACUUCUGUGUCCACCCUACUUCUGUGUCCCCACUACUUCGUGUGGACACAGAAGUAGUGGUAGUGGGGACACAGAAGUAGUGUGGACACAGAAGUAGUGUGGACACAGAAG